AAUAGAUACCCGGGUAGUCCACGCCGUAAACGAUGAGUGCUAAGUGUUAGGGGGUUUUCCGCCCCUUAGUGCUGCAGCUAAACCGCAUUAAGCACUCCGCCUGGGGAGUACGGUCGCAAGACUGAAACUCAAAGGAAUUGACGGGGGCCCGCACAAGCGGUGGAGCAUGUGGUUUAAUUCGAAGCAACGCGAAGAACCUUACCAGGUCUUGACAUCCCAUUGACCACUAUGGAGACAUAGUUUUCCCUUCGGGGACAACGGUGACAGGUGGUGCAUGGUUGUCGUCAGCUCGUGUCGUGAGAUGUUGGGUUAAGUCCCGCAACGAGCGCAACCCUUGUUCUUAGUUGCCAUCAUUUAGUUGGGCACUCUAAGGAGACUGCCGGUGACAAACCGGAGGAAGGUGGGGAUGACGUCAAAUCAUCAUGCCCCUUAUGACCUGGGCUACACACGUGCUACAAUGGACGGUACAAACGGUUGCCAACCCGCGAGGGGGAGCUAAUCCGAUAAAACCGUUCUCAGUUCGGAUUGUAGGCUGCAACUCGCCUACAUGAAGCC
rnacentral:rRNA from 1 species